GUGCUCACUUUGGCACCACAUAUACUAAAAUUGGAAUGGUACAGAGAUUAGCAUGGCCCUUGAGCAAGGAUGACGCAUAAAUCUGUGAAAUGUUCCAUAUUAAA
ensembl:snRNA U6 U6 spliceosomal RNA